UUAAGCGACUAAGCGUACACGGUGGAUGCCCUGGCAGUCAGAGGCGAUGAAGGACGUGCUAAUCUGCGAAAAGCGUCGGUAAGGUGAUAUGAACCGUUAUAACCGGCGAUGUCCGAAUGGGGAAACCCAGUGUGAUUCGUCACACUAUCGUUAACUGAAUACAUAGGUUAACGAGGCGAACCGGGGGAACUGAAACAUCUAAGUACCCCGAGGAAAAGAAAUCAACCGAGAUUCCCCCAGUAGCGGCGAGCGAACGGGGAGCAGCCCAGAGUCUGAAUCAGCUUGUGUGUUAGUGGAACGGUCUGGAAAGUCCGACGGUACAGGGUGAUAGUCCCGUACACCAAAAUGCACAGGCUGUGAACUCGAAGAGUAGGGCGGGACACGUGGUAUCCUGUCUGAAUAUGGGGGGACCAUCCUCCAAGGCUAAAUACUCCUGACUGACCGAUAGUGAACCAGUACCGUGAGGGAAAGGCGAAAAGAACCCCGGCGAGGGGAGUGAAAAAGAACCUGAAACCGUGUACGUACAAGCAGUGGGAGCACCUUCGGGUGUGACUGCGUACCUUUUGUAUAAUGGGUCAGCGACUUAUAUUCUGUAGCAAGGUUAACCGUAUAGGGGAGCCGCAGGGAAACCGAGUCUUAACUGGGCGUUAAGUUGCAGGGUAUAGACCCGAAACCCGGUGAUCUAGCCAUGGGCAGGUUGAAGGUUGGGUAACACUAACUGGAGGACCGAACCGACUAAUGUUGAAAAAUUAGCGGAUGACUUGUGGCUGGGGGUGAAAGGCCAAUCAAACCGGGAGAUAGCUGGUUCUCCCCGAAAGCUAUUUAGGUAGCGCCUCGUGAACUCAUCUUCGGGGGUAGAGCACUGUUUCGGCUAGGGGGUCAUCCCGACUUACCAACCCGAUGCAAACUACGAAUACCGAAGAAUGUUAUCACGGGAGACACACGGCGGGUGCUAACGUCCGUCGUGAAGAGGGAAACAACCCAGACCGCCAGCUAAGGUCCCAAAGUCAUGGUUAAGUGGGAAACGAUGUGGGAAGGCACAGACAGCCAGGAUGUUGGCUUAGAAGCAGCCAUCAUUUAAAGAAAGCGUAAUAGCUCACUGGUCGAGUCGGCCUGCGCGGAAGAUGUAACGGGGCUAAACCAUGCACCGAAGCUGCGGCAGCGACACUAUGUGUUGUUGGGUAGGGGAGCGUUCUGUAAGCCUGCGAAGGUGUGCUGUGAGGCAUGCUGGAGGUAUCAGAAGUGCGAAUGCUGACAUAAGUAACGAUAAAGCGGGUGAAAAGCCCGCUCGCCGGAAGACCAAGGGUUCCUGUCCAACGUUAAUCGGGGCAGGGUGAGUCGACCCCUAAGGCGAGGCCGAAAGGCGUAGUCGAUGGGAAACAGGUUAAUAUUCCUGUACUUGGUGUUACUGCGAAGGGGGGACGGAGAAGGCUAUGUUAGCCGGGCGACGGUUGUCCCGGUUUAAGCAUGUAGGCUGGUUAUCCAGGCAAAUCCGGAUAAUCAAGGCUGAGGUGUGAUGACGAGGCACUACGGUGCUGAAGUAACAAAUGCCCUGCUUCCAGGAAAAGCCUCUAAGCAUCAGGUAACAUCAAAUCGUACCCCAAACCGACACAGGUGGUCAGGUAGAGAAUACCAAGGCGCUUGAGAGAACUCGGGUGAAGGAACUAGGCAAAAUGGUGCCGUAACUUCGGGAGAAGGCACGCUGGUGUGUAGGUGAAGUCCCUGCGGAUGGAGCUGAGACCAGUCGAAGAUACCAGCUGGCUGCAACUGUUUAUUAAAAACACAGCACUGUGCAAACACGAAAGUGGACGUAUACGGUGUGACGCCUGCCCGGUGCCGGAAGGUUAAUUGAUGGGGUUAUCCGUAAGGAGAAGCUCUUGAUCGAAGCCCCGGUAAACGGCGGCCGUAACUAUAACGGUCCUAAGGUAGCGAAAUUCCUUGUCGGGUAAGUUCCGACCUGCACGAAUGGCGUAAUGAUGGCCAGGCUGUCUCCACCCGAGACUCAGUGAAAUUGAACUCGCUGUGAAGAUGCAGUGUACCCGCGGCAAGACGGAAAGACCCCGUGAACCUUUACUAUAGCUUGACACUGAACAUUGAGCCUUGAUGUGUAGGAUAGGUGGGAGGCUUUGAAGCGUGGACGCCAGUCUGCGUGGAGCCAACCUUGAAAUACCACCCUUUAAUGUUUGAUGUUCUAACGUUGGCCCCUUACCGGGGUUGCGGACAGUGUCUGGUGGGUAGUUUGACUGGGGCGGUCUCCUCCCAAAGCGUAACGGAGGAGCACGAAGGUUAGCUAAUCCUGGUCGGACAUCAGGAGGUUAGUGCAAUGGCAUAAGCUAGCUUGACUGCGAGCGUGACGGCGCGAGCAGGUGCGAAAGCAGGUCAUAGUGAUCCGGUGGUUCUGAAUGGAAGGGCCAUCGCUCAACGGAUAAAAGGUACUCCGGGGAUAACAGGCUGAUACCGCCCAAGAGUUCAUAUCGACGGCGGUGUUUGGCACCUCGAUGUCGGCUCAUCACAUCCUGGGGCUGAAGUAGGUCCCAAGGGUAUGGCUGUUCGCCAUUUAAAGUGGUACGCGAGCUGGGUUUAGAACGUCGUGAGACAGUUCGGUCCCUAUCUGCCGUGGGCGCUGGAGAAUUGAGGGGGGCUGCUCCUAGUACGAGAGGACCGGAGUGGACGCAUCACUGGUGUUCGGGUUGUCAUGCCAAUGGCACUGCCCGGUAGCUAAAUGCGGAAGAGAUAAGUGCUGAAAGCAUCUAAGCACGAAACUUGCCCCGAGAUGAGUUCUCCCUGAGACUUUAAGUCUCCUGAAGGAACGUUGAAGACGACGACGUUGAUAGGCCGGGUGUGUAAGCGCAGCGAUGCGUUGAGCUAACCGGUACUAAUGAACCGUGAGGCUUAACCUU
rnacentral:rRNA from 1 species